rnacentral:rRNA from 1 species
GACGAACGCUGGCGGCGUGCUUAACACAUGCAAGUCGAACGGAAAGGCCCUGCUUGCAGGGUACUCGAGUGGCGAACGGGUGAGUAACACGUGGGUGAUCUGCCCUGCACUUCGGGAUAAGCCUGGGAAACUGGGACUAAUACCGGAUAGGAGCCAUUUUUAGUGUGAUGGUUGGAAAGUUUUUUCGGUGUAGGAUGAGCUCGCGGCCUAUCAGCUUGUUGGUGGGGUAAUGGCCUACCAAGGCGGCGACGGGUAGCCGGCCUGAGAGGGUGGACGGCCACAUUGGGACUGAGAUACGGCCCAGACUCCUACGGGAGGCAGCAGUGGGGAAUAUUGCACAAUGGGCGCAAGCCUGAUGCAGCGACGCCGCGUGGGGGAUGACGGCCUUCGGGUUGUAAACUCCUUUCGCUAGGGACGAAGCUUUUUGUGACGGUACCUAGAUAAGAAGCACCGGCUAACUACGUG